UAUGAAAACGUUAUUUAUAUUGAUUUAUUCC
rnacentral:piRNA from 1 species